rfam:Haemonchus contortus, ISE/inbred ISE, WGS project CAVP01000000 data, contig: Hcontortus_contig_pathogens_Hcontortus_scaffold_5777
UUUGCACGUUCUUCAUUAAGGGUCAUUGAUGUGUUCUUGUUCAAUGUCAAGAACACUCUUUGACCUUGAUUUGAAGAACUACGUGCAGU